rnacentral:rRNA from 1 species
AUUGAACGCUGGCGGCAGGCCUAAUACAUGCAAGUCGAACGGUAACAUAAUAAAAGCUUGCUUUUAUUGAUGACGAGUGGCGGACGGGUGAGUAAUAUCUGGGAAACUACCUGAUAGAGGGGGACAACAGUUGGAAACGACUGCUAAUACCGCAUAAAGCCUAAGGGUGAAAGCAGUAAUGCGCUAUCAGAUGUGCCCAAACGGGAUUAGCUAGUAGGUGAGGUAAAGGCUCACCUAGGCGACGAUCUCUAGCUGGUCUGAGAGGAUGAUCAGCCACAUUGGGACUGAGACACGGCCCAGACUCCUACGGGAGGCAGCAGUAGGGAAUAUUGCACAAUGGAGGAAACUCUGAUGCAGCCAUGCCGCGUGUGUGAAGAAGGCCUUCGGGUUGUAAAGCACUUUCGGAGGGGAGGAAAAGGAUGACGUUACCCUCAGAAGAAGCACCGGCUAACUCCAUG